rnacentral:rRNA from 1 species
AGAAUCAACGCUGGCGGCGUGCCUAACACAUGCAAGUCGAACGAGAAAGGGACUUCGGUCCUGAGUAUAGUGGCGCACGGGUGAGUAACACGUGAAUAAUCUACCCUCGAGUGGGGAAUAACUGAGAGAAAUCUUAGCUAAUACCGCAUAACACUUAUGAGUCAAAGCAAGCAAUUGCGCUUGGGGAGGAGUUCGCGGCCGAUUAGCUAGUUGGCGGGGUAAUGGCCCACCAAGGCGAUGAUCGGUAUCCGGCCUGAGAGGGCGCACGGACACACUGGAACUGAAACACGGUCCAGACUCCUACGGGAGGCAGCAGUGGGGAAUUUUUGCGCAAUGGGGGAAACCCUGACGCAGCAACGCCGCGUGGAGGAUGAAGUAUCUUGGUACGUAAACUCCUUUCGAUGGGGAAGAUAAUGACGGUACCCAUAGAAGAGCCCCGGCUAACUUCGCGCCAGCAGCCGC